UUACCGUAGGUGAACCUGCGGAAGGAUCAUUCAUAAUAAAGUGUUUUAUGGCACUUUUUAAAAAUCCAUAUCCACCUUGUGUGCAAUGUUAGAUCUCGUCAAUCUUGGCGAGAUUUUUAUACAUCAACUCAUUCUUUAACUAAUUUGUCUGAAAAAUAUUAUGAAUACUUAAUUCAAAAUACAACUUUCAACAACGGAUCUCUUGGCUCUC
rnacentral:misc_RNA from 1 species